rnacentral:rRNA from 1 species
GACGGAGCAACGCCGCGUGAGUGAUGAAGGUUUUCGGAUCGUAAAGCUCUGUUGUUAGGGAAGAACAAGUGCAAGAGUAACUGCUUGCACCAUGACGGUACCUAACCAGAAAGCCACGGCUAACUACGUGCCAGCAGCCGCGGUAAUACGUAGGUGGCAAGCGUUGUCCGGAAUUAUUGGGCGUAAAGGGCUCGCAGGCGGUUUCUUAAGUCUGAUGUGAAAGCCCCCGGCUCAACCGGGGAGGGUCAUUGGAAACUGGGAAACUUGAGUGCAGAAGAGGAGAGUGGAAUUCCACGUGUAGCGGUGAAAUGCGUAGAGAUGUGGAGGAACACCAGUGGCGAAGGCGACUCUCUGGUCUGUAACUGACGCUGAGGAGCGAAAGCGUGGGGAGCGAACAGGAUUAGAUACCCUGGUAGUCCACGCCGUAAACGAUGAGUGCUAAGUGUUAGGGGGUUUCCGCCCCUUAGUGCUGCAGCUAACGCAUUAAGCACUCCGCCUGGGGAGUACGGUCGCAAGACUGAAACUCAAAGGAAUUGACGGGGGCCCGCACAAGCGGUGGAGCAUGUGGUUUAAUUCGAAGCAACGCGAAGAACCUUACCAGGUCUUGACAUCCUCUGACAACCCUAGAGAUAGGGCUUUCCCUUCGGGGACAGAGUGACAGGUGGUGCAUGGUUGUCGUCAGCUCGUGUCGUGAGAUGUUGGGUUAAGUCCCGCAACGAGCGCA